UACGUAGGGUGCAAGCGUUGUCCGGAAUUAUUGGGCGUAAAGAGCUCGUAGGCGGUUUGUUGCGUCGGCUGUGAAAUCCCGAGGCUCAACCUCGGGUCUGCAGUCGAUACGAGCAAACUAGAGUGUUGCAGGGGAGACUGGAAUUCCUGGUGUAGUGGUGAAAUGCGCAGAUAUCAGGAGGAACACCGGUGGCGAAGGCGGGUCUCUGGGCAACAACUGACGCUGAGGAGCGAAAGCGUGGGGAGCGAACAGG
rnacentral:rRNA from 1 species